rnacentral:rRNA from 1 species
GACGUAGGGCGCGAGCGUUGUCCGGAUUUAUUGGGCGUAAAGAGCUCGUAGGCGGCUUGUCGCGUCGAAUGUGAAAACUCGGGGCUUAACUCCGGGCCUGCAGUGGGUACGGGCAGACUAGAGUGCGGUAGGGGAGACUGGAAUUCCUGGUGUAGCGGUGAAAUGCGCAGAUAUCAGGAGGAACACCGGUGGCGAAGGCGGGUCUCUGGGCCGAUACUGACGCUGAGGAGCGAAGCGUGGGAGCGAACAGG